AUGGGUGGUGGGCAAGGCGCUAGCCCCCGUUGCCGACGGCGUGCUGGGGCUUGGGCAGCCACCAAGAACUUUGGUACCAACGUCGAGGCCCUCGGCACGGAAUUGUUGCUCGUGAAGGCCAUGCUUGAGCAAGCUGCCCACAAGGAACUCAGAGGCCCGGCAAUGGAGAUGCUGCUGCAGAAGCUGCAGGAAUCGGCGCAGAAUGCGGAAGACUUGCUGGACGAGCUGGACUAUUUCCGCAUCCAUGACCAGCUCCAUGGCACUUGCGAUGCUGCCCACAAGCACGGCAAGGGUUGCGUCCGCAACCUUGCCUUCAAUGCUCGCCACACUGCCAAAGUUGUUGGUAAACUGGUCAACGGUUGCGCUUGGCAGUGUGCUAAGCGCCGGCAGAGGUCACACAACAAUUCCUCCUCAACGCCCAACGCCAAUCAGGAUAUUAGUGGAUGCGUACCCAAGCUCAGUAAACUCCUCCCUUGCUCAUCCUCCCCGCAUCCACAUGUUGGUGAUGACGAUCGUGGCAAUGAGCUUGAGUUUAAUAGGGUUGAUUUCUCCCAAAGAAUGAAGGACAUUGUAGAUAAACUGCAGCCUAUGCGUAAUGAGGUUAACAAGAUUCUGCAAAGUUGUGGUGCUAGAAUUGUCUUAGACAUUGCGCAGCAUCGUCCCACCACCACACCUCAGAGUGCCGAGCCAAAACUGUACGGAAGGGACCGUGCCAUGACUAGCAUCAUACAUGAUAUCACCAAGGGUCAAUACUGUGACAAGGGUCUAACCGUGCUUCCGGUUGUUGGUCCAGGUGGAAUGGGGAAGACAACUUUGAUACAACACAUAUAUAACAACCAACAAGUGCACAAUCAUUUUCCGGUCAGGAUUUGGAUUUGUGUGUCAUUCAGUUUCAACCUGGAUAAGGUGCUAGAACAGAUUAAGAGAGAUACCCUUCCCGUUGAAGGUGAAAAUGGGUGUAGUACAACACAAGAGCUGAUUGAACACAGACUGAGACACAAAAGGUUCUUACUUGUAUUGGAUGAUAUAUGGCAGUUUACUGAUGUGGAUGACUGGAAAAAACUAUUGUUGAUACUUGGCAAGUCACAAGAAAAGGGUUCCAUGAUUCUAGUCACAACUCGGCAAAAGGAAAUAGCAGAUCAGGUUAAGAAAGCUGAAGAGCCAAAAGAACUGAAUGGUUUAGAACUCGGAGAGUUUAGGAAGUUAUUCCUUGUAUAUGUCUUUGAUGCUGAGCAAUAUCCAAGAGAUAAACUUCAUUUGCUUGGCACAGGAGAUGAGAUAAUCGGAAAGCUAAAGGGCUCCCCUCUUGCAGCAAAGACCGUUGGUAGAUUGCUGAGUAAAGACCUCAGUUUGCCUCAUUGGAGAAGGGUACUAAGAAGUAAAGAAUGGGCGAAGCAGACUGGUGACAAUGGAAUUAUGCCUGCCUUGAAGCUUAGCUAUGAUUUUCUCCCUUUCCAUCUGCAACAGUGUUUUUCCUAUUCAGCAUUGUUUCCUGAAGAUUACCGUUUCAGAAGUUAUGAGCUCAUCAGCUUGUGGAUUGGACUAGAUAUUUUGAUACUUGGUCAAAAUCAAACACUUGAAGACAUAGGUUUGAGAAAUUUAAAGGAGUUAGUCAUCCAUGGAUUUUUCAGAGAAGAGGAAAAUUAUGGUGGUAUGUAUUAUGUUAUGCAUGACCUACUGCAUGAAUUGGCAUUGAAGGUUGCAGCCCAUGAUUGUUUCAGUUUACGUCUCCCUAGUGUUGGAUCGGUAGAGAUUCAACCAACCACCCACCACUUGUCUAUAAGCACAGAGGACUUAGGUGAAUAUCAUGCAGUGUUUGGUGAAAAAUUAAAGAGUGACUUGGAAGAACUGAAGACAGGAUUUAAGGUUCGAGAUUUGCAAACAUUGAUGUUAUUUGGAAAAGUGGAUGAAGGUUUUGUCAAGAUAUUUGGUGAUUUCUUUGGGGAAGCGAACGCUCUUCGUGUUCUUCGUUUGCCCAGCCUGGUUUGUCCUGUGGAAUCCAUGUUACAUAACUUUUCAGGACUUGUCCACCUACGAUGCCUAUGGUUAGGGACAUGGAAUAGAGAUAUGCAUUUGCCACCUAACAUCUCUAAAUUUUACUCCCUCCGUUCCUAA
rnacentral:rRNA from 1 species